rnacentral:rRNA from 1 species
CCUACGGGAGGCAGCAGUGGGGAAUAUUGCACAAUGGGCGCAAGCCUGAUGCAGCGACGCCGCGUGAGGGAUGACGGCCUUCGGGUUGUAAACCUCUUUCGCUAGGGACGAAGCGUAAGUGACGGUACCUGGAGAAGAAGCACCGGCCAACUACGUGCCAGCAGCCGCGGUAAUACGUAGGGUGCGAGCGUUGUCCGGAAUUACUGGGCGUAAAGAGCUCGUAGGCGGUUUGUCGCGUCGUCUGUGAAAUUCUGCAACUCAAUUGCAGGCGUGCAGGCGAUACGGGCAGACUUGAGUACUACAGGGGAGACUGGAAUUCCUGGUGUAGCGGUGAAAUGCGCAGAUAUCAGGAGGAACACCGGUGGCGAAGGCGGGUCUCUGGGUAGUAACUGACGCUGAGGAGCGAAAGCGUGGGGAGCGAACAGGAUUAGAUACCCCA